GAGCGUCAGAUCAGGAUUGCUGAAGGAGAGCUGAGAAUGAAACCACCAUUUAUUCAGCACUCAGAAUGCUCCAGGCAGUGUAAUCUCAUUCCAUCUUCAUUCAUGACUCCAGACAGGUGUAUGGCCACCAGUGCUCCAGAUUUACAUUCUAUUUACCUCACAACCCCAGUGGAAAAAGAAUAUCUCUUUCCUGAUUGGUCCAGCAGAAAUCUUGGUAUUAACUCUGACUGCCCACACUUGAAUAUGAACUAUUAGUAAGUACUGUGGCCAAGAGUUUGCUUCGGGAAAGAAUAUGAUAAAGUCACCUUAUCUUUCAUGUUUGCUCAGAAUAGUGAGGUGAUUCUCCACAGGAAAACUGGAAUGCUGUUACUAGAAGAAGAAAUACUGGACAAAGCUAAUAGAUGUCCCCAAAAGUGAUGAUAAUAAUUUUAUUCAAAUAGGUUCAUAGAUCAGUCUGGUGGGCUUGUUUUCACAUUUUAUUUAAGAAAAACUCUUGUAAUUACAAGUUCCCCAGUCUGUAAAUACAGAUGAGAUUAACCAAAUUUUGUUAUUUUUUGUGCCCAAGGUCACCCACCACACUUGACCUGUCUGGAGGCCACAUGAAGCCUUGAUGCGCUGGCAUCUGACCUGAACAUGCUGAACUGGAGUGAGGCCCGUGUUGCCUCCCUACCCCUGACCCAAGGGCCAUCGCGUAAGAAGCUGGAUCCAUUCCCUCUCCCUCCGCCAGAGACUGCUCCCCAACAUUAGUCCGUUCUGGCUUCUACUGUGUGGCGGAAGGAAAAGAGGUUGAAUCAGAAAUGAGAUUGAAGUUUUAAACUGGACUAUACUUCAAAAACUGAAAGUAAUCAGAAUAUUAUAGAAUGUGUCCAAAAUGUUUCAAUGAUGAGACUCUGGAGUUAUCUCCUGACCUCAUGAUCUGCCCGCCUUGGCGUCCCAAAGUGCUGGGAUUACAGGCGUGAGCCACCGCGCCCGGCCCAAACUAUGUUUUUAAAAUGAAAAUUAAUAAUUAUGAAGAAAGAUGUACCAUAUCCAAAUAUUAAAAUAAUAUAGUGCUAUGAAAUUUUUUUAAAUAGUACAACAUAAAAAUAAAAAUAUAUGAUAAAGUAAACUUCCCAAAUCAAAGAAAACAGAAAGAAUUAUUCACUAAAUGAUUCUGGGACAUGUCGUGGGCUUAGGCAACUUUGUUUAUAAUCUGUACCUCAUACUAUUUCAUCAAACACAUAGCAAGUGAAUUUAAGAAGUAUAAAAAUUCAAAACAAAAAGGAAGAUAAAAUAAAAGCAAAUAUUUAUCAAAUUUCUGCAAGAAGGAAACAUUCUAAAAUUAAAGUAGUGAAAGAUGUUACACUCAAAAAAGGUUGA
rnacentral:lncRNA from 10 species